rnacentral:rRNA from 1 species
GGGAACUGAAACAUCUAAGUACCCCGAGGAAGAGAAAUCAACCGAGAUUCCGAAAGUAGCGGCGAGCGAAAUUGGAUUAGCCCUUAAGCUUUUAAUGAUGCAGGUGAAGAGUCUGGAAAGUCUCGCAGUAAAGGGUGAUAGCCCCGUAACCGACACAUCAUAAUCAGUGAAAACGAGUAGGGCGGGACACGUGAUAUCCUGUCUGAAUAUGGGGGGACCAUCCUCCAAGGCUAAAUACUACUGACUGACCGAUAG